UAUAAGCCGUUCUAUUCUAUUUUCCAUUUCCUUUUCUUCUUUCUUCUGUCCUUCGACUCGGGGAGCUUUUGUGGAUUGAGGCGUCGCGCAAGCUGUGGUCUUCCUUCGCUCUCACGAGCCCCCCUGCCCUUUCUCUGAAAAAUAAAAAACCACGAAACUGAAGGAGAUAUCGAGAGAAACCAAAACCAAACCAGAAGAAUUGUUUCUCUCCACCAAUUUCCAUCCUUACCUCGAUUUCGACGCCGGAGUUGGUCUCCCGACCUUCUCCUCAGAAGAUCGGCAGGCCUUUUGCUUCCAUUUGACCUCCAUUCCGCUGUAAAUAUCCUUUUUUUGGUCGGCGAAUGGAAGAGAGGGGACUGGGGAGGAGGCGGUGAGGACGUUGGAGAGGCGAGGGAGGGAAAAGGAUGCUAUAUUUGAAGCAGCCGAGGGGGAAUCAGGGGGUCCGGCGGCCGGCGGAGUGGUGAACUCGGCGGUGGGAUUUGGAUGUGCGAGUGAUCUGGCCCGAGCCCACGGCUCGGGAUCCGGACGGAAUGGCAGCGGAGAAUGGGGCGGGGACUCGGAUCGCCGACAACCCCGACGCCGCGAGCUGCUGUCUGCAGAAAUUUAGUCUCUACGAGACUCGAUCGAAAUUCUAUAUGAUUGGAAGAGACAAAAGCAGAACGUUUUGGAAAGUGUUAAAGAUUGAUAGAUUGGAGCCUUCGGAGCUGAACAUCCGAGAGGACUCCACCUCAUACUCAGAAUGUGAAUGUCAAGACCUGUUGAGGCGAAUACAUGAAGGAAAUAGAUCCACUGGUGGACUAAGAUUUGUCACCAAUUGCUAUGGCAUAGUUGGUUUUAUUAAGUUCUUGGGGCCAUAUUACAUGUUGCUUAUAACCAAAAGAAGGCAAAUUGGUGCCAUAUGUGGCCAUACAGUGUAUGCUGUCACCAAAAGUGAAAUGAUUGCACUUCCAAAUUCUACCAUGCAACCCGAUAUGGCUAAUUCCAAGAAUGAGAACAGAUAUAAGAAGCUCCUAUGCACAGUGGAUCUUACAAAGGAUUUCUUUUUCAGCUACUCAUACCAUGUUAUGCGUAGCCUUCAAAAGAACAUAUGCGAUAAUCAGACAGGACAGGUUUUAUAUGAAACAAUGUUUGUAUGGAAUGAGUUCUUGACACAUGGAAUACGAAGCCAUCUCAAAAAUACUCGUUGGACGGUCGCACUUGUCUAUGGGUUCUUUAAACAAGCCAAACUCUCCAUAUCUGGAAAGGAUUUCUGGUUGACACUCAUUGCUAGGCGUUCACGUCAUUAUGCUGGCACCAGGUACCGCAAGCGUGGUGUGAAUGAGAAAGGUAGAGUGGCAAAUGAUGUUGAGACAGAACAGAUUGUUUUUGAAGACACUCCUGGAGGUGUUCCAACACAAAUCAGUUCUGUUGUCCAGAAUAGGGGUUCCAUACCCCUUUUUUGGACACAGGAAACUUCACGACUGAACCUUAAACCUGAUAUUAUAUUGCAGAAAAAGGACAAAAAUUAUGAAGCUACCAGGCUUCAUUUCGAGAAUUUAGUAAAAAGAUAUGGAAACCCAAUCAUUAUUUUGAACUUGAUUAAGGCAUGUGAGAAGAAACCUCGAGAAUCUAUACUUCGUGCAGAAUUUGCUAAUGCAAUUGAUGUUAUAAAUCAAGAUCUGUCAGAGGAAAAUUGUUUGAGAUUCUUGCAUUGGGAUCUUCAUAAACAUUCUCGGAGAAAAGCUAUAAAUGCGCUUACGUUGUUGGGUAAAGUAGCAGCUUAUGCUUUGACUUCAACAGGCUUCUUUUACUAUCAAGUUACACCAGCUUUAAGGCUUGAGGGUGCUAUAAAAUGGCCUAGCCUUUCGAAUGAUGAUGUUGGUAACUGGUCAUGUAAUAAUCACAAAAGCAGCAGCAACAAGAAUUAUAACAGUGAUGAUGCUGAGAUCUCAGCUGAUGGAUCCCAGGAAGAUAAUGCAGUGAUAUCUGAUACCUCUGGACCUUCAACCACAGAGGAUAAAGCUACCAGUAGUGAAAAUUGCUUGGUUAAGCCACCUACGUUACAAAAGGGCAUCCUACGCACAAAUUGCAUAGACUGCUUGGAUCGCACUAAUGUUGCACAAUAUGCGUAUGGUUUAGCUGCUCUCGGACAUCAACUACAUGCCUUGGGCUUAAUAGAUGUUCCCAAAAUUGAUCUAGAUGCUCCUCUGGCUGAUGAUUUAAUGAGCUUUUAUGAGACGAUGGGCGACACACUUUCGCUACAGUAUGGUGGUUCUGCUGCUCACAAGAAGAUAUUCUCUGAGAGAAGAGGUCAAUGGAAGGCAGCAACCCAGUCUCAAGAAUUCUUCAGAACACUUCAAAGAUAUUACAGCAAUGCCUACAUGGAUGCUGAAAAACAAGAUGCAAUAAACUUUAUAUUGGUUGAUUUGCUAUCUAAUGAUGCAGAUUCUUGGGCGACUUCCAACCUCAACAGGGUAAACCAGCCCUGUGGGAGCUGGGCUCUGAUCAGCACUGCAGUAUGGGGAAACAUGCUUAUGCUUUUGCUGAUGAAAAUGAAAGGUCAUUUUUCAAAAGAUCCCUAUCGGAUGGCAACAUUCUGCAUGGAAGCAAUACACCCUCAAGCUGUAAUGUUAGCUGCAAAAAGCUCCCUAAGUCAGCUUUGUCUGAUAGAAAGCAUCAAGUGGGAGAUGCCAAGGGUCUGUCUGAUUCAACACCAGAUAUUUCAACCUGUGAAAGUGAUGUAUCAUAUUCCAGGUACACUCCCACAAUAUCUCGUAGACAGCUUUUUCUAGAUAAUGGGCAUAGUUAUUUCUAUGAAAGUGGGGAUUCAAAUUUCCUGGACCUUGAUUGGCUUUCAUCUUCUAGUAAUUCAUGUGAGGUGGAAAUUUAUGAAAGGUCCAGAAACAUGAACUCUCCAAGCGAGAAUCUGUCCACCGAAAACGUCAUAAAUGGCAUAGCUACUGAGAUAACACCACCUUUAAGUGAGAAUGGGACUGGCAUAAAGAAAAAGCAGACAACUGAGGUACAAAUGCUUCAGGAAGCUGCCCAAACUUCUGAAGUUCUUGGCGAGUAUUCUGACAGCUUCGUGCAGUGGGUGAUCCAUGGAGAGGCUCUAUGUCGCUGAUGCAGAAAAAUUUGGAUAUGCCCCAUCUGAUCCUCAGCAUCUGGACGCUGGUCCCUCAAAAAUUUGUCGAAAUGAUAGAGAGAGAGGACAAAUUACAUGUUCAAGGCGGACAUUCUUUGUAAGAUAUCUCUACCAAUAUGCCGCUCUUUUCAGCCAUGUACAAUUAUGUUAACUUGGUUAAAGUACUGCCUUCGGUCAUAGUCUGAUAGAAGAAUGAGUACAUAGAUAUAAUUCUUUUGGAUCUCUGUUCCAUUUGUUCCCACCUAAAAUUGUCAUCAUGUAAAUAUUCACAUAUAUUUGCUCAUGCGAGCUCAACAUUUAUGGCAGCAAUUUUUCCCCUUAUUAA